GCCACAUUGAAACACCUGUUCCUAUUUGAUCACUGAAGUUAAGCAAUGUUGAGCUUGGUCAGUACCUAGAUGGGUGACCACUUGGGAAUACCAGAUGCUGUAAG